AAUAAAAUUAAACAGUUCCAGUCUUAAAUAUCUUUCUCAUUUUCUUCGUAGGACGACCACGACCUAAUGCAUUAAUGGAAGUACAAAUGCCAGUGAUUAAGAACGCCGAAUGCAAAAUAGCUUAUUCCAAAUUUCCUAAUGCACCUGAUAUCACUGAUGGUAUAAUAUGCGCCGAACAUGCUCAGGGUGGAGAGGAUUCUUGUACGGUAUUGUGUCUUAUGCUUAUAAGUGUGGCACAGCUGGGUAUCCCAGCGUUUACACUAGGGUCACAUCGUACCUUGACUUCAUUCUCCAAGCGAUGCAAUAAUAUGAUAUUACUGUUCCAUAAAUAUCAUUGUGUAAAAAACGUAAAGUUGGAUUUUCUUAUUGUGGAGAUAAGAAACAGCUCAAAUUUACAUUGUUUUGUACGUUACAAAUUAUAGGCUUAAAAUGUACGAAAUGUAACUUUGAAACGACACUAAUUUUUUACGCACGAUAAACCUCCACGACUUAGGUAUGUAAAGAUGAUAAACGUAUAUUAAUUCUAUUAAUUUGGUAAUAAUAAACCAACUUUCUGAGAAGUUCUGUAAAUUUCGUUUCUGUUGUAUCAAGAGAAUAAUGGAAUAUUCCACUUA